rnacentral:rRNA from 1 species
CCUACGGGGGGCAGCAGUGAGGAAUAUUGGUCAAUGGACGAGAGUCUGAACCAGCCAAGUAGCGUGAAGGAUGACUGCCCUAUGGGUUGUAAACUUCUUUUAUAUGGGAAUAAAAUGUUCCACGUGUGGGAUUUUGUAUGUACCAUAUGAAUAAGGAUCGGCUAACUCCGUGCCAGCAGCCGCGGUAAUACGGAGGAGCCGAGCGUUAUCCGGCUUUAUUGGGUUUAAAGGGAGCGUAGGUGGAUUGUUAAGUCAGUUGUGAAAGUUUGCGGCUCAACCGUAAAAUUGCAGUUGAAACUGGCAGUCUUGAGUACAGUAGAGGUGGGUGGAAUUCGUGGUGUAGCGGUGAAAUGCUUAGAUAUCACGAAGAACUCCGAUUGCGAAGGCAGUUCACUGGACUGCAACUGACACUGAGGCUCGAAAGUGUGGGUAUCAAACAGGAUUAGAUACCCUUGUAGUC